rnacentral:rRNA from 1 species
GACGAACGCUGGCGGCGUGCUUAACACAUGCAAGUCGAGGGCAUUUCCGGGGCAACCUGGGAGUGACCGGCGAACGGGUGCGUAACACGUGAGCGACCUUGCCUCGUGGUGGGGGAUAGCCGGCCCAACGGCCGGGUAAUACCGCAUAUGGUGCUUUCCUCGCAUGGGGAGAGUAGCAAAGCCCUGGAGCAAUCCAGUGGCGCCACAGGGGGGGCUCGCGGCCUAUCAGCUAGUUGGGGGGGUAAUGGCCCACCAAGGCGACGACGGGUAGCUGGUCUGAGAGGAUGGCCAGCCACAUUGGGACUGAGAGACGGCCCAGACUCCUACGGGAGGCAGCAGUGGGGAAUCUUGCGCAAUGGCCGAAAGGCUGACGCAGCGACGCCGCGUGU